AUGCUUGCCGCCUCUGUGCGCUCUGUUCGCUGCUCCUGUAAAGAGAAAAUCAACAGAAAACGAGAACACAAGGAGCAGCUCGUGUUCACUGUAAACAAAUAUAUGCAUGGCAGCUCGUGGAGUACUAACUAUGCAAGAUUGCCUAAAGAAAAACAAUGCAAGAUAGGAGAGCAAGGAGCAGAGGAGCAGCUCCUGUGCCCCGACCUCAGGCCGUCAGGCGGAUGCACGGCGUCCCUGUCGGCGGCUGCGCACUCCUGUACAGCACCACCAGUCCACCACUCAGCUUCCCUGUCCACGCCCGAGCUUCACCGCUGGCCAAAUCCAGCUGCCCCAACGCGCUCUACCACGGCCGUGCGCUCCGCCAUCGCACACGACUUGCCGGCCACCACCAGCAGCAGCCAUGGCGUCGUUAGAUCUUGUGCAGCGGCUGCCAUCGCUCGAUGCGAGAGAGAGAGAGAGAGGAAAAAUGAGAUGGGGUGUACCACUUCGAGCGAGAGCGAGGGUGGUUGCCCAUAUCCGCCACUUUUCGGCGGCUCCGCUCAGCCCGUUUUUCAGGGAAUAUUCUUCGAAUCUGGCUAUCCCCAACCACCCAAAACUCUGAACCAAAUGCCUGAUAGCCAUACAAAAAAAGGGCUAUCCCUAGCCUCUCGAGGAUAUUCCUUGAACCAAACGCACCCUUACUCUUUGACAGAGGUUGCAUAA
rnacentral:rRNA from 1 species